GCCUUCUUAGCUCAGUGGUAGAGCGCUGGUCUCGUAUUACAAUGUAAAUUAACAUAGUAAAAGACAACCAGAGGUCGAGAGUUCAACCCUCUCAGGAGGCA
rnacentral:tRNA from 1 species